rnacentral:rRNA from 1 species
AGCGAACGCUGGCGGCAGGCUUAACACAUGCAAGUCGAGCGGGCACUUCGGUGUCAGCGGCAGACGGGUGAGUAACACGUGGGAACGUACCCUUUGGUUCGGAAUAACGCUGGGAAACUAGCGCUAAUACCGGAUACGCCCUUUUGGGGAAAGGCUUGCUGCCGAAGGAUCGGCCCGCGUCUGAUUAGCUAGUUGGUGGGGUAAUGGCCUACCAAGGCGACGAUCAGUAGCUGGUCUGAGAGGAUGAUCAGCCACACUGGGACUGAGACACGGCCCACACUCCUACGGGAGGCAGCAGUGGGGAAUAUUGGACAAUGGGCGCAAGCCUGAUCCAGCCAUGCCGCGUGAGUGAUGAAGGCCUUAGGGUUGUAAAGCUCUUUUGUCCGGGACGAUAAUGACGGUACCGGAAGAAUAAGCCCCGGCUAACUUCGUG